rnacentral:rRNA from 1 species
UACGGAGGGUGCAAGCGAUGUUCGGAAUCACUGGGCGUAAAGCGCGUGUAGGCGGCCUUCUAAGUCUGAUGUGAAAGCCCGGGGCUCACCCCCGGAAGUGCAUUGGAUACUGGGAGGCUGGAGUACCGGAGAGGAGGGUGGAAUUCCUGGUGUAGCGGUGAAAUGCGUAGAUAUCAGGAGGAACACCGGUGGCGAAGGCGGCCCUCUCGACGGAUAAUCACGCUGAGACGCGACAGCGUGGGGAGCAAACAGG